rnacentral:rRNA from 1 species
UCCGCAGGCGGGCAAUUAAGUCAGGGGUGAAAUGGUGCGGCUCAACCGUAGCACUGCCUUUGAUACUGGUUGUCUUGAGUUAUGGUGAAGUGGCCGGAAUAUGUAGUGUAGCGGUGAAAUGCAUAGAUAUUACGUAGAACACCGAUUGCGAAGGCAGGUCACUAACCAUGGACUGACGCUGAUGGAGAAAGCGUGGGGAGCGAACG